rnacentral:rRNA from 1 species
CUCCACGCCGUAAACGAUGUCAAUUAGGAGCUUGUGCUUAAGUAUGGGUUCCGCAGCUAACGCAAUAAAUUGACCGCCUGGGGAGUACGGCCGCAAGGUUAAAACUCAAAUGAAUUGACGGGGCCGCACAAGCGGUGGAGCAUGUGGUUUAAUUCGACGCAACGCGAAGAACCUUACCUGACCUUGACAUAGUGAGAACCUCUCUGAAGGGAGAGGUGCCUUCGGAGCUCACAUACAGGUGCUGCAUGGCUGUCGU